UGGGGACUUACGAGUGAUUCCUGUUUAAUAGUUUUUCUGAUCUCUCAGUUGGGAUUCCGUGAGAACCCUAAAUUUGGGGUCUCCUGGAUUGGGGCUCAGUUUCACACUUCGGAGGCAUUUGAUGAAGGACAUAGGUUCUCUUUAUUUGGAGAUUUCCUGAAGAUCCUCUUUUCGAGGUUUGCGGACCCCAUGGAUAGGCGGCCCAGUGGGAUUUCUUAAGAUGGAUUUUGGCUUUUCUCCGUUUAGCGUUCUCCUGCUCUCGGUUUGGGGUGAGAGCACCCUUCCUAACGGUCUUCGGGAACUGUGCGCGCCGGCUGCAAUGGGGCCGCAUUUUACCUUCCUGUGUGCGGCGCUGGCCCGUUGCUUGCUUCCUGCCGAGGGGUGUGUUAUAUGUGACCCGUCUGUCGUGCUGGCGCUAAAGGCCCUGGAGAAAGAUUACCUGCCUGGCCACCUGGAUGCGAAGCAUCACAAAGCCAUGAUGGACAGAGUAGAGAACGCCGUGAAGGAUUUCCAGGAGCUGCCGCUUAAUGAGGAUGCCUAUAUGGGGGUCGUUGGUGAGGGCAGGGGGGACCACGGACCCCUGGGUCCUGGGAAAGGAGGGAGAUAAGACCAGGGGGAGGAAGAGGCUGUCAGCAGGGUCUCCGGGAUUCGGGAAUGGAGAAGGCUGAGAUGCAGAUUCCGAGGUUCCCCGGGGCUAGUAAAUACUGUUUUCCCUAUCCUUAGUAGGCAAUUUUAUGUAAUAAAACUACAACUCCCACAAGGCAACGGGCGGCUGAGUCCUUAACCAGGCUUAUCCUUGCCCAAUGGCCUUAUGGGUAUUGUAGUUUCUAAGAUUAGGCGCGCCAAUGAAACAGUAAGGCUGGAAUCUGGGGUUAUAUCUCCUCUGACAGAUGAGGCCACACUGCAAAAGGGGUCCUGGAGUUUGCUGAAGGAUCUGAAACGCAUCACAGACAGUGAUGUAAAAGGCGAUCUCUUCGUGAAGGAGCUAUUUUGGAUGUUGCACUUGCAAAAGGAAACCUUUGCCACCUAUGUUGCUCGAUUCCAAAAAGAAGCUUACUGUCCCAACAAAUGUGGUGAGUCCAGAUUACAGAAGUUAACCCUCAUCUUACCCUCUGAAUAGUCAACCUCCCCAUUCGCCUUUUUGGAUCCUGGUGGUUUUGUCAUUCUUUGCCUUGGAGAGGUUCCUGGGUCUCCAGUAUUCUUUCUCCAACGUGGAUUUCUUGGGGAGCAGGUCAUAUUCUACUUACAUUCUUUUUUUUUUUUUUUUUUUUUUUGAGACAGUCUCACCCUGUCGCCCAGGCUGGAGUGCAGUGGCACGAUCACGGCUCACUGCAACCUCUGCCUCCCAGGUUCAAACUAUUCUCCUGCCUCAGCCCCCUGAGUAGCUGGGAUUACAGGUGUCCGCCAUCACACCCAGCUAAUUUUUGUAUUUUUAGCAGAGAUGGGGUUUCACCAUGUUGGUCAGGCUAGUCUUGAACUCCUGACCUUGUGAUCCGCCCGCCUCGGCCUCCCAAAGUGCUGGGAUUACAAGAGUAAGCCACCACAGUGGCUUUACAGUGUAAGUAAAGAGUCUACUUACACUCUUUACUGAGCCUUGUUGGAGCCCACUUCCUACUUACCUGCGUCCUGGUCCUGUCCCUUUGUCUGAACAUCUAGGAAUGUCAUAGAUGACCUGGCCCCAGCCCUUAGCCCUGACCUCUCCUUUUAGCCAUGCCCCUUAGUGGGCAAGUACAAGCCUUGACGACCCUGCCCCUCCAGGUGUGAUGUUGCAAACUCUGAUCUGGUGCAAGAACUGCAAAAAGGAGGUUCACGCUUGUCGAAAGUCCUACGAUUGCGGGGGUGAGAGAACUGGACCCAGCAGGAGGAAUUGGUGCAGGUGGGGUGGGGCGAGAGAAGAGGCAGUCUAGAGAGAGCCUAGAUGGGGGUGUGGGGGCAGUAGACAAGAAAAGGUAGGGUUUAGGCCAGGUACAGUGGCUCACACCUAUAAUCCCAGCACUUUGAGAGGCUGAGACGGGAGGAUCAGGAAGCCAGGAGUUUGAGACCAGCCUGGGCAACAUAGCCAGACUCCACCUCUACAAAAAAAUUUAAAAAUUAGCCAGGUGUGGUGUUGCGUUCCUGUAGUCCCAGCUACUUGGAAGGCUGAGGCAGGAGGAUUGCUUGGACCCAGGAGUUGGAGACUGCAGUGAGCUAUGAUCAUACCACUGCACUCCACCCCAGGCAAAAGAGUGAGACCUUGUCUAAAAAAGAAAAAAAA
rnacentral:sRNA from 1 species